rnacentral:lncRNA from 1 species
CUAAGCUCAUAUCACUGUGCAGGAAACUUUCCCACCUUGUUAAGACUUAACCGUCACAUUUUAAAAUGUUAUGAUUUUAAAAAUAUUUUCCAGGAAAUGAAAAAGAAACUGAAAGAGCCACUAAUACUGUGUAUGUCAACAGAGGGAAAAUCGAUCUGCAGCAUAAUUCACCAAAUGAGCAAAGCCAGGACCUAGAAAAGCUAAAAUGGAACAACGAAUCUAUCCCUUCUCAUUUUGGGGAAGAUUCUCCUGCAGCUAUGUUCUGAAUUCUUUUACUGCCAAAACUCAUGUCCUCUGGUUGUCUGGCUGGGAGACUCCUCCUUCCAUCUGAACUAUGGAAGACCUUUGGUGGUUCUUAUAACCACUGUAGGAACCAUCCUUUAGUACAGCUGCAAAGACUUGUCCAGGACAGAACUUGGAGUCAGGAAUUCCUGACCAGGUAACUAGUUCUCUAUUCCUUAGAAUAUUCUCUAGUCUCUAUUCCAAGCUGUCUCUGACAUCUCAUAAGAUAUUAUUUUUGCAAAAGAAAACUGUCUUCUAUGAUCAAACUUAAAUUCAUAAAAACAAAGGGGGAAAAAAUUUCCAAAGUGAUUUCUCCAACACUAUUUUGUACAGUCUUGUCCAUUACUCUCUUCCAGAAGUCUUUCCCUGUCUUCCUCUGAGAUGAUCUCCACUCUAUAGUGCAUCUAUCUUGUUUGUAUAUAGUUUUCUUUCCCAUUAGACUGAGAGCUCUUUGAAAGAAGGGAUUAGUUUUUGCUUUUCUCUGAAUCCUCAGAAUUUAGCACAAUGCCUAAAGUUAAGUAAGCACUUGACAAAUGCUAGUUGACUGUUAACCUGUAAAAAAGUCCCUAUAAAAAGGAUCUUAUUGUGUACAAAGUAAGCAUCCACAAUGUAUUCAAACAAACAGAUUAUCCAAUGAUAAUAACGUAGUGUUUUGACAAAAUAUACAGUGUACCGCAUAGAGAGCUAGCCUUAGAGUAAGGAAGACUUUGAUUCGAAGGCUGCCUCUAAUACUUUCUACAUCUGUGAUAUUCGAUGAAAUCACAAGUCCAAGUGCUGCUAUCUGAAUGUUCCUUUACAGUUUAGAAAGCACUUCUCUGACAACAACCUUGUGAAACAUACAAACACUAUACUUAUCUUACAGAUGAGGAAAUUAAGGCACAUGGAAGUUAAAUUACUUGCCUAAGGGUCACAUAAUGUGUAGCUCUAGGAAGAAUUCAAAUUGGGCUCUUAAAGUCCAGUUUUUCUUUGCUCUUUAAAUCUUU